rnacentral:rRNA from 1 species
GCAAGUUCAACGGCCGCGGUAUUUUGACCGUGCAAAGGUAGCGCAAUCACUUGUCUUUUAAAUAGAGACCUGUAUGAAUGGCUAAACGAGGGCUUAACUGUCUCCCUUUUCAGGUCAGUGAAAUUGAUCUACCCGUGCAGAAGCGGGUAUAACAAUACAAGACGAGAAGACCCUUUGGAGCUUAAGGUACAAAACUCAACCACGUCAAGUAACUUAAUAAAAAGUAAAAACUUUGUGAGGCAUGAGAUUUUACCUUCGGUUGGGGCGACCACGGAGGAAAAAAAAGCCUCCAAGUGGACCGGGACAAACUCCUAAAACCAAGAGAGACAUCUCUAAGCCACAGAACAUCUGACCAAACAUGAUCCGGCCACCAGGACCGAUCAACGAACCAAGUUACCCUAGGGAUAACAGCGCAAUCCCCUCCCAGAGUCCAUAUCGACGAGGGGGUUUACGACCUCGAUGUUGGAUCAGGACAUCCUAAUGGUGCAGCCGCUAUUAAGGGUUCGUUUGUUCAACGAUUAAAGUCCUACGUGA